ensembl:rRNA 5S_rRNA 5S ribosomal RNA
GUCUAUGGCCAGACUACUCUGAACAUACUCUGAUCUCAGAAGCUAAUCAGGGUUGGGCCUGAUUAGUACUUAGAUGGGAGACCACUGGCAUAUUCAAUACUGUAGGUU